rnacentral:rRNA from 1 species
UACGUGAAACCGUUCAGGGGUAAACGGGAGAAAUCCUGAAUUCGAAGGGGAUUGGAUUCAAUUCGCUCCGGCUGUUCAGGCCACCUGGCCCCACCAGAUGUUGCUGGUCGCCCACGGCGAUUCAUUUCGCUUGUGGUGUCGUUCCCGGCGAUCACUCGGUGUGGGUGGUGUUGCUCUGACACUGGGUGAGUGCACUUCCUCCCUUGUAGAAACGUCGCGACCCGUUGGGUGCCGGUCUAAGGCCUGGGAUGGCAGACCAUGUGUCCCGUGGGGUAACCCACGGGUUCGUGGACUCCUGGUGACCCGGCCGGCUGCUCGACGGUAUGACCAGAGGAGUCGAUCCGCUGAAAUGGGAAACACUAUGGCUGUGUAGCGUCCGGCCCGGCGCCGACACGUGCGGGGAAUGAGGAGCAAUCCUAGGGUGUCCGUGCUGGUGCACGGCCCCGGCCCCGUUGCGUUGUCGGUUCAGUCGGUGUCCUCGGACUGGAUCAGUACUCCCGUCGGCGACGCCCACCUUCGGAUGG